rnacentral:rRNA from 1 species
UACGUAGGGUGCAAGCGUUGUCCGGAAUUAUUGGGCGUAAAGAGCUCGUAGGCGGUCUGUCGCGUCUGCUGUGAAAACUCAGGGCUUAACCCUGAGCUUGCAGUGGGUACGGGCAGACUAGGGUGCGGUAGGGGAGACUGGAAUUCCUGGUGUAGCGGUGAAAUGCGCAGAUAUCAGGAGGAACACCAAUAGCGAAGGCAGCUCGCUGGGACGUUACUGACACUGAGGCGCGAAAGCGUGGGGAGCGAACAGG